CGCCUGGUCUCAUCACAACUGAUAUUACCUCAAAUGACGGCUCCGUGGCUGGGGUAAAAUCAACCAGAAGCUGCUUGCUUGCUAGGUGACCCUGGCAAAUCACUAUUCCUCAGAUUUUCCUUUAAAAUCUUGAACGCGUUGGGCCAGAAGUUUUGUAAGAUCCCGUCUGGUCUGAUUCCAUCACUUAUGACCCAUGAAUACUUCGUAUGAGUUCUAUUUUGGGAUCUGCUGCAGGGCCGUGCCAUGUGAUGCUCGCUGCCGCUCCGGGAGGGGUCAGAUGCUCUCAGGACGGCCGAGUGGGGAAGCAUGAGUGUCUGUCUUCUGGAGUCUCGGGCUCUGGGUCAGCAGCUUUCUAGACGAGGGGUGCUUUUUCAUUUUGGCGUUUGAGUGCGGAACAAACCCACAAGGCUCAAGCUCUGCUUGUGGAUGAAAAGCACAUGGUUCGUGAAACGACUUGGGGCUCUGGUGAUGUGGGGCCAGACUUGAGGACGGAGGUGAGGGAAGGAGCUUCUCCUUCUCCUCCUGGAGGCAGCGAAAAGAACCGGGAGCCCCCACUCCGGGAGCCCAAGGGAAAGGUGUCGAAGAUGUUGGGAGCAAGAGGGCUCAGUGAAACUUGCGAUGGAUAAAAGGGGGUGUUUUCUGGUGGGAUCACAGUUCCAGAAAACAACACAGAGAUGACACACUUUCUUUAAGGAAGUGACUUCCCCUUUUGUUUUGUGCUGAAUGAAAACACGUCCACUUUCUUGGGGGAAAAUACAGUUUAGUACUUGACGGCUGGGCCAUUCGUCCCCAUAAGGCCAUUCUCAUGGUCCUUGCUGUUUGCGGCAGUAACGCGAAGAGACGGGAAGCAUCGGAAGGAGCAGCUGAGGGGUGCGCCGGGCGCUCCGGUCACUUCCUGUGGGACCGGCCUGGUUUGCAGCUUCCCGGGGCCAGCGGCCUGGUGACCCUCACUCAUCGCAUGGCGGUUCUGAUGCUCCGACUUCACCCCCUGAAGCUGCCGAGCAAAACUCGGAGGUCACGCCCCUCAGCCCUGGCGUGGCUGCCCGGAGCGGAGCCGCAGCGUGUGAGGGCAAAGGGAGCGCAGAGCUACUUUUCCUUCUGGGCGUCCCGCCUGUCCCCUCUUCCCGCCUCCCGAAGACGUCCUGACCCCUCCUUUCCCGUGGCUCCGGCAGCUGAGGACCGCAGGAAGCCCCUCUCUGCCAGUCUUGCCGUGUCUGUGGGGGUCUGCAGGGUGCGUGCGGGCCUUCGUCCUCAGGCCUCGCUGGGGUCAGACGCCGGCCCCUCUGCUCAACCUGAAAUGCCUCCAGAGACAAGAAGACAGGCUUCUGGAGACGGGUUCUCGAGAUUUCUCAAUUGUGGAGAAAACCCUGGACAGGGGCCAUGUGGUCUCAUUUCCUUGCUAAAAUCCCUUCUUUGUGAACUGCGGUUCGAACACCAGAAUCGCCCAUGCGAAGACAUCUGGGUCCUUUUGCAGAACGCUCGUUGGAGAUGGGGUUGCCUGUGUUACCUCAUGUCUGUUAUAUAAGGACGCACUUGAUAAAUUUCUCCUUGAACACCAUGCCAGGAAAAAUUUCUCUUUCCAAUCUGAUUCCAGAGUUAUUGUACAAUGAAAAGUAUACGAGCCAGCCUGUUUCCCCUUCAUCCAGGAAAUUCAGAGAUAAAUCCAGCGUUCAGCUGUAGUAAACAGCUCAUCCCAGGUGGCCCGAAACAUACUGUUUCUGUUUUACCCUCACUUGUUAUUCUGGGAGUUGUGUUCAGUUUGUAAAGU
rnacentral:lncRNA from 1 species